GUAGGUGGCAAGCGUUGUCCGGAAUUAUUGGGCGUAAAGCGCGCGCAGGCGGUUCUUUAAGUCUGAUGUGAAAGCCCACGGCUCAACCGUGGAGGGUCAUUGGAAACUGGAGAACUUGAGUACAGAAGAGGAAAGCGGAAUUCCACGUGUAGCGGUGAAAUGCGUAGAGAUGUGGAGGAACACCAGUGGCGAAGGCGGCUUUCUGGUCUGUAACUGACGCUGAGGCGCGAAAGCGUGGGGGAGCAAACAGGAUUAGAUACCCUGGUAGUCCACGCCGUAAACGAUGAGUGCUAAGUGUUAGGGGGUUUCCGCCCCUUAGUGCUGCAGCUAGCGCAUUAAGCACUCCGCCUGGGGAGUACGGCCGCAAGGCUG
rnacentral:rRNA from 1 species